rnacentral:rRNA from 1 species
AGCGAACGCUGGCGGCAGGCCUAACACAUGCAAGUCGAACGGACCUUUCGAGGUUAGUGGCGGACGGGUGAGUAACACGUGGGAACGUGCCUUUAGGUUCGGAAUAGCUCCUGGAAACGGGUGGUAAUGCCGAAUGUGCCCUUCGGGGGAAAGAUUUAUCGCCUUUAGAGCGGCCCGCGUCUGAUUAGCUAGUUGGUGAGGUAAUGGCUCACCAAGGCGACGAUCAGUAGCUGGUCUGAGAGGAUGACAAGCCACAUUGGGACUGAGACACGGCCCAAACUCCUACGGGAGGCAGCAGUGGGGAAUCUUGCGCAAUGGGCGAAAGCCUGACGCAGCCAUGCCGCGUGGAUGAUGAAGGUCUAGGAUUGUAAAAUCCUUUCACCGGUGAAGAUAAUGACUGUAGCCGGAGAAGAAGCCCCGGCUAACUUCGUGCCAGCCGCCGCGGUAACAC